rnacentral:rRNA from 1 species
GAUGAACGCUGGCGGCGUGCCUAAUACAUGCAAGUCGAGCGAACAGACGAGGAGCUUGCUCCUCAGACGAUAGCGGCGGACGGGUGAGUAACACGUGGAUAACCCACCUAUAAGACUGGGAUAACUUCGGGAAACCGGAGCAAAUACCGGAAAAUAUAUUGAACCGCACGGUUCAAUAGUGAAAGAGGGAUUUGCUGUCACUUAUAGAUGGAUCCGCGCCGCAUGAGCUAGUUGGUAAGGUAACGGCUUACCAAGGCAACGAUGCGUAGCCGACCUGAGAGCGUGGUCCGCCACCCUGGAUCUGAGACUCGGUCCCGACUCUUGCGCUGGGACGCGGUCGAGACUCUUACGCGAUGCGCGAAUGCCUGACGGUGCACAGCCGCGUGAGUGCUGAUGGUGUGCCGCUCGUAGAACUCUGUUAUUCGGGAGGAACAAAUGUGUAGUUAUCUAUGCACGUAUUGACGGUACCUAAUCAGAAAGCCACGGCUAACUACGUG